UCCAGACUCCUACGGGAGGCAGCAGUGGGGAAUAUUGCACAAUGGGGGGAACCCUGAUGCAGCGACGCCGCGUGGGUGAAGGAGCACCUCGGUGCGUAAAGCCCUAUCGGCAGGGAAGAAACAGACGGUACCUGACUAAGAAGCCCCGGCUAACUACGUGCCAGCAGCCGCGGUAAUACGUAGGGGGCAAGCGUUAUCCGGAUUUACUGGGUGUAAAGGGAGCGUAGGCGGCAAGGCAAGUCUGAUGUGAAAACCCAGGGCCCAACCCUGGGACUGCAUUGGAAACUGUAUUGCUUGAGUACCGGAGAGGCAGGCGGAAUUCCUAGUGUAGCGGUGAAAUGCGUAGAUAUUAGGAGGAACACCAGUGGCGAAGGCGGCUUACUGGACGGCAACUGACGCUGAGGCUCGAAAGCGUGGGGAGCAAACAGGAUUAGAUACCCGCGUA
rnacentral:rRNA from 1 species